rnacentral:rRNA from 1 species
UUUGAUCCCUGGCUCAAGAUGAAACGCUGGCGGGCAGGCUUAACACAUGCAAGUCGAGCGGGGGAAGGUAGCUUGCUUCCGGACCUAGCGGCGGACGGGUGAGUAAUGCUUAGGAAUCUGCCUAUUAGUGGGGGACAACAUCUCGAAAGGGAUGCUAAUACCGCAUACGUCCUACGGGAGAAAGCAGGGGAUCUUUGGACCUUGCGCUAAUAGAUGAGCCUAAGUCGGAUUAGCUAGUUGGUGGGGUAAAGGCCUACCAAGGCGACGAUCUGUAGCGGGUCUGAGAGGAUGAUCCGCCACACUGGGACUGAGACACGGCCCAGACUCCUACGGGAGGCAGCAGUGGGGAAUAUUGGACAAUGGGCGCAAGCCUGAUCCAGCCAUGCCGCGUGUGUGAAGAAGGCCUUAUGGUUGUAAAGCACUUUAAGCGAGGAGGAGGCUACUUUAGAUAAUACCUAGAGAUAGUGGACGUUACUCGCAGAAUAAGCACCGGCUAACUCUGUGCCAGCAGCCGCGGUAAUACAGAGGGUGCAAGCGUUAAUCGGAUUUACUGGGCGUAAAGCGCGCGUAGGCGGCUAAUUAAGUCAAAUGUGAAAUCCCCGAGCUUAACUUGGGAAUUGCAUUCGAUACUGGUUAGCUAGAGUGUGGGAGAGGAUGGUAGAAUUCCAGGUGUAGCGGUGAAAUGCGUAGAGAUCUGGAGGAAUACCGAUGGCGAAGGCAGCCAUCUGGCCUAACACCGACGCUGAGGUGCGAAAGCAUGGGGAGCAAACAGGAUUAGAUACCCUGGUAGUCCAUGCCGUAAACGAUGUCUACUAGCCGUUGGGGCCUUUGAGGCUUUAGUGGCGCAGCUAACGCGAUAAGUAGACCGCGCUAGGAAUUCCCC